UGGAUCACCUCCUAACAGGGAGACAACAAAAUGUUUAAUAUUAUUAUUUUGUCACCUUAGGUCGAUCGGUAUCUCACGUUCUUAAUUUAUUAAGAAUUUCAAUUCCUAAGUUUUUCUAGGUCACACCCAUUAUUUUUUCCUGGGCCAUUAGCUCAGGUGGUUAGAGCGCACCCCUGAUAAGGGUGAGGUCCCUGGUUCAAGUCCAGGAUGGCCCAUAUCUCUAUGUUGGGGGUAUAGCUCAGUUGGUAGAGCGCCUGCUUUGCAAGCAGGAUGUCAGCGGUUCGAGUCCGCUUACCUCCACUGAUUACCACCUCUUCCAUAAUCUGGAGAAAGGAAAUGUUUUGAGUUGUGAUCAAAUUCUGAACGAAUCUAGCUUCCUAAUAAAAUUAUUAAGAUGCUGGACUCAUUGAAUUAAAUUUCAUUGUUUUCAGAGAACCUUGACAACUGCAUAGAUUUUUUUUAAAGACAAUAAGCAUCUUUAAUGAUGCAGAUUUAUUAUUUGUGCGAAUGCAUUUAUAACAAUUCUAUUAAGCUGAUGCUUCAAUUUUGAAGUUAUUGGUCAAGCUACAAAGGGCUCAUGGAGGAUACCUAGGCACACAGAGGCGAUGAAGG
rnacentral:tRNA from 1 species